UUAAAUGACACAGCUUGAAAAUCGUGAGUCUGGGUUCUAGAAGUUUUCAAAGUAUCACGCGACAAAACUGCCAGAUACAUGAUAAGUAAAUUAGCUAUACAUCAAACGGGAAUCACAAGAGUUGUUAACUCUGGAGUUCGUUAGCAGGGAAACUCUUGUGUUUCUCUUGUUACUACUCGGUACCUCUUGGUACCGAGGUUUGUUAAGGUGGCCCCAAACGAGAGGACAUGUCGCGGGGACAUCUUGCUGCGACAUGUAGCAGCAACAUAUUCAUAAACUGUACACAUUAGGGGCCAUGUAGCUGGGACGUGAUUCAGGGGAUGGAUUACCACUUGCACAUACACACGAAAAUGUAGCUGGGACACAUCCCCUGAUGUGCGCUGACACUUUUUCACUCGUGC